rnacentral:rRNA from 1 species
GACGAACGCUGGCGGCGUGCUUAACACAUGCAAGUCGAACGGAAAGGCCCUGCUUUUGUGGGGUGCUCGAGUGGCGAACGGGUGAGUAACACGUGAGUAACCUGCCCUUGACUUUGGGAUAACUUUAGGAAACUGGGGCUAAUACCGGAUAGGAGCUCCUGCUGCAUGGUGGGGGUUGGAAAGUUUCGGCGGUUGGGGAUGGACUCGCGGCUUAUCAGCUUGUUGGUGGGGUAGUGGCUUACCAAGGCUUUGACGGGUAGCCGGCCUGAGAGGGUGACCGGCCACAUUGGGACUGAGAUAGGGCCCAGAAUCCUACGGGAGGCAGCGGUGGGGAAUAUUGCACAAUGGGCGGAAGCCUGAUGCAGCAACGCCGCGUGCGGGAUGACGGCCUUCGGGUUGUAAACCGCUUUCGCCUGUGACGAAGCGUGAGUGACGGUAAUGGGUAAAGAAGCACCGGCUAACUACGUG